rnacentral:rRNA from 1 species
UGCCAGCCGCCGCGGUAAUACGGAGGGUGCAAGCGUUGUUCGGAAUAACUGGGCGUAAAGCGCACGUAGGCGGAAUGUUAAGUGAGGGGUGAAAUCCCAGGGCUCAACCCUGGAACUGCCUCUCAUACUGGCGAUCUGGAGUUCGAGAGAGGUGAGUGGAAUUCCGAGUGUAGAGGUGAAAUUCGUAGAUAUUCGGAGGAACACCAGUGGCGAAGGCGGCUUACUGGACCGGUACUGACGCUGAGGUACGAAAGCGUGGGGAGCGAACAGGAUUAGAUA